rnacentral:rRNA from 1 species
GGAUUGAACGCCGGCGGCAGGCCUAACACAUGCAAGUCGAGCGGUAGGGAGGUGCUUGCACCUCUUGAGAGCGGCGGACGGGUGAGUAAUGCCUAGGAAUCUGCCUAGUGGUGGGGGAUAACGUUCGGAAACGGACGCUAAUACCGCAUACGUCCUACGGGAGAAAGCGGGGGACCUUCGGGCCUCGCGCCAUUAGAUGAGCCUAGGUCGGAUUAGCUAGUUGGUGAGGUAAUGGCUCACCAAGGCGACGAUCCGUAACUGGUCUGAGAGGAUGAUCAGUCACACUGGAACUGAGACACGGUCCAGACUCCUACGGGAGGCAGCAGGUGGGGAAUAUUGGACAAUGGGACGAAAGCCUGAUCCAGCCAUGCCGCGUGUGUGAAGAGGUCUUCGGAUUGUAAAGCACUUUUAAGUUGGAGGUAAGGUUGUAACUUAAGUACGUUGCUAAACUUUGAACGUUUACCGA